AUUGAACGCUGGCGGCAGGCCUAACACAUGCAAGUCGAACGAGUCGCGGACGGGUGAGUAAUGUCUGAGAAACCGCCUGAUGGAGGGGGAUAACUACUGGAAACGGUAGCUAAUACCGUAUAACAACAUAUGUGCCAAGAGGGGAUUCGCUUGUUGGUGGGGUAACGGCUCACCAAGGCCACGAUACCUAGCUGGUCUGAGAGGAUGACCAGCCACACGGGAACUGAGACACGGUCCAGACUCCUAAGGGGAACAGCAGUGGGGAAUAUUGCACAAUGGGCGCAAGCCUGAUGCAGCCAUGCCGCGUGUAUGAAGAAGGCCUUCGGGUUUUAAAGUACUUUCAGCGGGGAGGCGGGACCCGAAGAAGAAGCACCGGCUAACUCCGUGCCAGCAGCCGCGGUAAUAA
rnacentral:rRNA from 1 species